rnacentral:rRNA from 1 species
CAGCAGCCCGAGUGGUGUUCGUUAUUAUUGGGCCUAAAGCGUCCGUAGCCGGACCGGUAAACCCUUUGGUAAAUCGUAUAGCUUAACUAUACGAAUUCUGAGGAGACUGCCGGUCUUGGGACUGGGAGAGGUCGGAGGUACUCCAGGGGUAGGGGUGAAAUCCUGUAAUCCUUGGGGGACCACCAGUGGCGAAGGCGUCCGACUAGAACGGGUCCGACGGUGAGGGACGAAGCCCUGGGGCACAAACCGGAUUAGAUACCCGAGUAGUCC